AGUUCUCUAUUUUGUGUUUUUUCUGAAGAUAAAUGGAAGUGCAAAUGCAGUCCGCUAGUGAUUUGCUCUUGAGGUUCAUUUUACUUAUGUUUGCAGGAAAAAAGGGUGGUGUGGUUCGGUUGGAUGCCCCGUUACUAAAAAAUCUUGUUGAGAAACUGCAGUUUUCUGUAAAGAUAUAUGUUUGAGUAGUGUCCGAAUUUACCAAGGUGUUAGCUUUCUUAUUCAGGAAGAGGUUGUCAAGAAGACAAAAUCAGUUGGGAAGCUCAAACAAGAAGCUGAGAAUUGCCUAUAAUAGAGUGAAAGAUUUAACAACGAGAAGGCUGAGUUUGAGCAAGCUUCCUUCACAAAAGGGGAUGGAGGUGCAGCGAGAUCCUGGAGAGGCCGCGCCGAUGCAUCUUCUAAAGGGUGACUCGAAACCAGCAGAGGGACAUGGAU